rnacentral:misc_RNA from 1 species
GAAAUGCGAUAAGUAAUGUGAAUUGCAGAAUUCAGUGAAUCAUCGAAUCUUUGAACGCACAUUGCGCCCGCCAGUAUUCUGGCGGGCAUGCCUGUUCGAGCGUCAUUUCAACCAUCAAGCCCCGGGCUUGUGUUGGGGACCUGCGGCUGCCGCAGGCCCUGAAAAGCAGUGGCGGGCUCGCUGUCGCACCGAGCGUAGUAGCAUACAUCUCGCUCUGGGCGUGCUGCGGGUUCCGGCCGUUAAACCACCUUCGUAACCCAAGGUUGACCUCGGAUCAGGUAGGAAGACCCGCUGAACUUAAGC